ensembl:lncRNA
AUGGAUAGUAAUGAAUCCUAAAUAUAUACUAUGAUUUUUCCUACACAUACAUAUGUAUAUAAACUACACUAGGCACACUAAGAGAUUAACACCAAUAACUAAUAAUGAAGUGGAACAGUUAUAACAAAAUACUGUUAUAAAGGUUAAGUGAAUGUGGUCUUUCUCUCAAAAUAUCUUCCUGUACCAUAGUCACCCUUCUUCCUGUGAUGAUGUGAGAUGAUAAAAUGCCAACGUGUUCAGAUGAAGUGAAGUGAAUGAAAUGACGAAGGCUGCUACUGACAUUCUGAUGACAGAUAAGAAGGAGGAUUGUUGGCAUCUGGACUGUGGUUGUUUGGGGAACACUGAAACUGCAGAAAACGAAACCAUGGAUAAGGGUCAAAAAAAUUACUCUGAUGUGGAUACUGGCUGGAUGAGUACAUUGGGUGAGUAAUGUUUAAUUACAAUAAUUGUGUUAUGUAAUGGAAUAGACUGAUUUAUUUUGCAUCUGUUUUAUUUUUUAUUUUUUAAUUAAAUAAUAUAAAUAAGAU